AAUCUCUUUAACCAGAUGAUUGACAUUUUUUUUUCUCUGUAUUUCUUCAUUCUCUUUUGUUUACUAUUUUUUCAUCAAAUUGUUCAAAUUAAAAUUGCGUGAUUCAUUCAAUAUUGUUUUUCAAGGACAAUUGUACAAAACAAUUGCUAUUCUGAACUGGAAAUCAUUGUAAUGAUGGUGAUUACUUUAAAAUGUAAUACAUCAUUAGGCCAAGAAAUGAGAAAGAAAAAAGGUAAAUGUAAUUUCAGCCCAUUGAUUGUCCAUUAAAUUUCCUCUGAUUGUUUCGUUUUCCUGUGCUUUAAUUACCUGCCAUUGUAUACUGUCUAAUUAUGUUGGAAAAAAUGAGAACCGGAAAUGCUUGAUUGGUUGUUAUCCUCACAACAUGGGAAAUAUAAUCAUGGUUCCUCGGUAAAUCAAUUGACAUACAAACUGUGAUUGUGUACCGUUGAGUGUGUUACCAAUUCAUUAUGCUUUCCAUAACCUUCCAACUAUCGUAUGACUGCUAUUAUAAAUAAAUUAAUGUGAAACUCAUGGUUUGUGUUUUUCUUACGAGCUACUCAGAUUGGAUACCGAGUGCAAAUAAAGUCUCUGUUAAUCUGCCAAAUGGAAAACAAUAGCCAAGUUGAAUAGUUUUCAGUCUGUAAAAUGGAUCAAAUGAUUUAAAGUUCAAGGUGGUUCAAUGCUAGUACCAAUCUCUUUAAAAGACGCAAUUUCGACCAUUUUACUGCUUCUUUAGAAGUAAAAAAUCCAACACUAAUGGCGUAAGCGAUUUUCCGAUUUCAAACCAACAGUUAAAAGGAUUGUUUUAGUUGAGAUUUGAUUAUUUUCUAUUCUACUCCUUUGAUUUAAUUCAAGUUUAGCUUUUGAAACUGUCAAAUCUGCUUCAAUUAUAAAGUUGUUUGUUCCUCGAGUGUUUCAAAAACCAUUUGUUACUGAAAAUCAAGCCGAUAAGAAUGAAGUGUUUCUAAGUGAUAUAAAUUUUCCUGGCCAUGAAUAAGCAAUUUUUCUUGAUUGUUUCACCGUACAAUCAGGAAUAUUAAUUGAUGCAAACAGUUCCAGGUAUAUUUAAUGUAAACUGAUUUCUUCGUUACCUUUAAUACCCUAAUCAAGGACAAGAUCUUAGUGUACUAUUUAAUUUACUAACUUUGUAUCCAUUUAUUUUCACUCUCAUCAUAUCUUUUAUUGCCUGGUAAAGGUUUGAUUGAUUUCGCAUCAAAGAGAUUCUGCAAUGAUUAACUAUAAUUAACAGCUCGAUAUCGGAAAAUGCUGUAAUUAAUAAAUUGGUUAAUUGCUAUGAACUUGAAACUAUAGACUAUCUUGAGCUAUUCUUGUAAGAUCAGUCGCUCAAAUUAUACUUCGCUUGUAUUUAUAAAUUAUUAAUGAAUUUC